UACGAAGGGGGCUAGCGUUGCUCGGAAUCACUGGGCGUAAAGGGUGCGUAGGCGGGUUUUUAAGUCAGGGGUGAAAUCCUGGAGCUCAACUCCAGAACUGCCUUUGAUACUGAAGAUCUUGAGUUCGGGAGAGGUGAGUGGAACUGCGAGUGUAGAGGUGAGAUUCGUAGAUAUUCGCAAGAACACCAGUGGCGAAGGCGGCUCACUGGCCCGAUACUGACGCUGAGGCACGAAAGCGUGGGGAGCAAACAGG
rnacentral:rRNA from 1 species